AUUGAACGCUGGCGGCAGGCUUAACACAUGCAAGUCGAGCGGGGUGAUGGUGCUUGCACUAUCACUUAGCGGCGGACGGGUGAGUAAUGCUUAGGAAUCUGCCUAUUAGUGGGGGACAACAUCUCGAAAGGGAUGCUAAUACCGCAUACGUCCUACGGGAGAAAGCAGGGGAUCACUUGUGACCUUGCGCUAAUAGAUGAGCCUAAGUCGGAUUAGCUAGUUGGUGGGGUAAAGGCCUACCAAGGCGACGAUCUGUAGCGGGUCUGAGAGGAUGCUCCGACACACUGGGACUGAGACACGGCCCAGACUCCUACGGGAGGCAGCAGUGGGGAAUAUUGGACAAUGGGGGGAACCCUGAUCCAGCCAUGCCGCGUGUGUGAAGAAGGCCUUAUGGUUGUAAAACACUUUAAGCGAGGAGGAGGCUCUUUUGGUUAAUACCCAAGAUGAGUGGACGUUACUCGCAGAAUAAGCACCGGCUAACUCUGUGCCAGCAGCCGCAGUAA
rnacentral:rRNA from 1 species